AGUAGAAUUGCUGGGUCACGUGCAUAUGGGACCUUUUGAGGAACUGUCAGACAGUUUUCCAAAGCAGCUGUAUCAUUUUC
rnacentral:miRNA from 1 species